UACAGAGGGGGCAAGCGUUGUCCGGACUUACUGGGUGUAAAGCGCAUGCAGGUGGCUGUGCAAGUAUGCUGUGAAAGCCCCGUGCUUAACACGGGGAGGCCAGUAUAGACUGCACGGCUCGAGGACUGCAGAGGGUAGGGGAAUUGCUGGUGUAGUGGUGAAAGUGCGUAGAGAUCAGCAGGAACACCAAGGCCGAAGGGACCUACCUGGGCAGUAUCUGACACUCAAGUGCGACAGCGUGGGGAGCGAACCGG
rnacentral:rRNA from 1 species